CUUGCAUUGUAUUUAAACUGGUUUUCAAAGGCUCACAGCAGCUUCACCUAAUUUCAAUUUAUAAUAUUAAUAUGUAACAUCUAUAUAGAUGAAAUCUACUUAUACAUCGUGUAUUGAAUUAUUUAUACAAGAAAAAUAUCAUAUGCAAACACCAUAAUUUGACCAAGCGUAAUUUUGAAUAUGUCCAAACUAUGUUCCACUUUUCUUUUAAAAUUAAGAAAAAUCUCAUCAUGCACAUGAUUCUACUGAUUCUACAAUCGCCAACGAAUACCCAUUCAACCCAAAUCUUGCAGACGAAAACCUAACUGAGUCACCGUAACUUAGAACUCGCUCUCCAAACCGAGCUGACUCACUUCCACCGUGCUUAAGCAGCAAUCUUCCCUCCUCUUUGUAUGCUUUUCCAUUCUCAACCCUUCCCUUCAUUUCCCUGAUAAAACACCAAAGGUUCUCAAUCAAUGUUUUCUUCUUAAUGGGUAAAGCUAAAAGCCGCUCUUUACAAUCCUCGAGUCUUUUCAAUAUGCAUUCCAACUCAACUGAGUCACCAAAAUUCAGGCAACUCAUUCUUUGGUUAAACUCCUCUGCUCGGAUUGAGAUUUCAUUUGUUGAUGACAAAUAAUCUUCUCCCACCAAAUUUAUGAUCUGCUGCACUAAUUCAUUACCUUGCAUAUGCAAAGAAUUAGGUAUUUUGCAUAUUUCUUCCAUUAAGCUCGUCAAAGAAUCUAUCUCUCUCAGAAGAUCAGGGUUUGUUAGUGCUGAAACUUUCUCUUCUUCUUUAUCUUUCUCUGCUGUGCUUGAAGUUGAACAGAGAAAGAAACCCAGAACCCUUGAGGUUGAUAAGAGAUGUUCAAGGUAUCGAGCAUACCUGUAAUUUCCAAGAUAAUUAACAUGAAAACCAAGGAAAAGAAACUGGAAAAACACUAAUAAAAAUGAAUGAAUUGAGAAAAUGUUCAUUUAGUUAUGAAAUUUUCCCUUUCAGAGAGAUUCUUUCUAUGAUCUUGAUGCCUUUCUACUUGCUGGCUAGAGCAACACAAACCAUCUAACCCAUGAAGAUAAUUCCCAAGCUAUGGGCGUGGUGUUAUCUCUAAAGCUUGAAAGUUUGAGGUAGUUUCUGCCGCCUGUGGAAGGAUAAACAGAAAGCUGGUCUUGGAGGAUAAAACUACCAUCCUUGAUGAUGUGAUGGACGAUGGCAAGGCACUUGAUAGCGACGGAGGAGUCAUGGGUAGACUGCAGCCUGUCCAUAAGGGCCUCAAUUGCAGCGGCAGCGGUGGCGCGUGAGCUGUAGCCAUAGGAAAGCAUAGUGGUGAUGUGCUUUGGGUGUGGAGGAGUAAAUGGGUCGUGAGUUGUGGCUCUGAGGAGGGCUAAGUGGAGAGACAAGGUUUUGGGUUUAGAGAUUAUGGCUGCUUUGCUUUGAGAAGCCUUGUCUUUGAUUAUCCCUAUUAUGUCUCUAAGAUUUGUUGGGCGCCCCAUGAAAGCAAAAUUUGCUGGUUUACAGAGGCUAAAAGAUUGAAUGAAAAGAUGAAGAUAAGAACUAAACAAGAGAGAGACGAUCGAUCCACAAAAAUGAUUGAUAAGAUCCAGAGACAGAGGGGAUUGGGUGGCCUGGUGGGGUUGAUUAUAU
rnacentral:misc_RNA from 1 species